rnacentral:rRNA from 1 species
UUGAACGCUGGCGGCAUGCCUUACACAUGCAAGUCGAACGGUAACAGGGAGCUUGCUCCGCUGACGAGUGGCGAACGGGUGAGUAAUGUAUCGGAACGUACCAUUGAGUGGGGGAUAACGUAGCGAAAGUUACGCUAAUACCGCAUAUUCUCUCCGGAGGAAAGCAGGGGACCGCAAGGCCUUGCGCUCUUUGAGCGGCCGAUAUCAGAUUAGCUAGUUGGUGGGGUAAAAGCUCACCAAGGCGACGAUCUGUAGCGGGUCUGAGAGGAUGAUCCGCCACACUGGAACUGAGACACGGUCCAGACUCCUACGGGAGGCAGCAGUGGGGAAUUUUGGACGAUGGGGGCAAGCCUGAUCCAGCAAUGCCGCGUGCAGGAAGAAGGCCUUCGGGUUGUAAACUGCUUUUGUACGGAGCGAAAAGGCUCUCUCUAAUACAGGGGGCUCAUGACGGUACCGUAAGAAUAAGCACCGGCUAACUACGU